GGCCCCAUCGUCUAUCGGUUAGGACGACAGGUUCUCAUCCUGUAAAGCGCAGUUCGAUUCUGCGUGGGGUCAC
rnacentral:tRNA from 1 species